CGUAGCGAUACGUUGAGCUAACCCAUACUAAUUACCCGUGAGGCUUAACCAUACAACACCCAAGAAGUGUU
rnacentral:rRNA from 1 species